CUAACAGCCAGGGCGCAAAGGGAAACCCUAUCUCAAACAACAACAAAUAUGAACUACCUGUGUAGGCCAGAGUUAACUAAUUUUUGAGACAGCUGAAGAAUGAAAGAGCAAGAAAAUUUAUAUCAACCUCUGGCCUACACAGAUGGACUUGUUUCUAUCGGCCCCUCCUUCUAGCCUGACCACUGGACUGGCCUACAGCCUCCUUCCAGCUCUCAGCCGGUGUUGUAACCCCCGAAUUACGGAUGCUAACUCUCUACGGAUAAUUGUCCUGUUUCUUAAAAGUCUCACCAGAGAGACUUCAGUGUUGUGUACAGACAGUUUGCCUCUGCGUUUUCCCUCACAGAAGCUUCCAUCCUCCUUCCAGCCUGAGGCAAUCGAGAUAUGCAGACAGCUGGUUUCUGUGCUGCAUCCUCCUGCAACAAGCCCCGGGCUCCCUGCCCUUCCCUGACCACUCCAAGAGAACCCAGCCUAGCGUUAGAACGACACAACCCAUAACCACCACCACCCCCAAUGGAAGUAUUCUGAGGAGCCAAAUGCCAGCACCAGGCAUACCCCUCCCCUCCUCUGCAUCUCCAAAGACCACCACUUUUCCUGAUAAACAGCCGAACUCUCCAGGUGCCUGUCCUUAAGACCUUAAAGAAAUAACAAACUCUAAGGAGAUUAGGACCCUGAGUUUAAAUCAUGGAGAAAGGGUAAUCAGAGGUCACAGAUAGUUACAACUGGCCACAAAAUUAGUCCCUAAACAGACACCCAUUAACUACCCUCCUGGCUUCAGUUCCAUCCCACCAAAUGGUUACAGCCCUCCACUCCCCUUUUCUGUGAACAUUCAGGGGAUUCCUGACUAUACUGUAUAUAAACCCAGUGACUCAGGCAUCACUUGCCAGCAUUCACCCUGUGAGUGCAAGGCAUGUGAUCCGAGUUUGAACUUGGAAACAAUAAAAGACUCUUUUGCAAGUUGCA
rnacentral:lncRNA from 1 species